AGCAGAGAAGAUGGAGACUCAUUUGGUUUUGUUGCUUGCUUUGAUCUUCACUGUAGUUGCCGGCGUUGGAGCCCAAGGCCCAUCCACCUCUCCCGCGCCUCCCACACCCCAGUCUUCACCACCUCCCAUCCAGUCUUCUCCGCCACCUGUUCCUUCCUCACCUCCUCCGGCUCAGUCUCCACCACCAGCUUCCACUCCCCCACCAGCCCCACUCAGCUCUCCUCCCCCUGCCUCCCCUCCUCCUUCAUCUCCACCACCCGCAUCUCCUCCCCCUGCCUCUCCUCCUCCGGCAUCUCCACCACCCGCAUCUCCUCCCCCUGCCUCCCCUCCUCCGGCAUCUCCUCCCCCAGCCACUCCUCCUCCUGCUUCUCCUCCUCCCUUUUCACCACCACCAGCAACUCCUCCAC
rnacentral:lncRNA from 1 species